CUUGAACAUUAUAAGAGGUCUAGCCUGCCCAGUGAAAUAAUUCAACGGCCGCGGUAUCCUAACCGUGCGAAGGUAGCGUAAUCACUUGUUCUCCAAAUCAGGACUAGUAUGAACGGCAUUACGAGGGUUAUACUGUCUCCUUUUUCUAAUUAGUGAACUUAAUCUUCCCGUGAAGAAGCGGGAAUAAGCCUAUAAGACGAGAAGACCCUAUGGAGCUUUAAACAAUCUAGCAUUUGCCCACUAUCUUAAUAUUUUCAGAACCACUAGACCCUGCAUAAUGACUAGAAGUUUUAGGUUGGGGUGACCGCGGAGUAAAACUCAUCCUCCACAAUGAAGGAACCUUAAUUCUUAACUAAGAUAUACCUAUCUAUGUAUCAACUUACUGACAUCUAUUGACCCAAUAUA
rnacentral:rRNA from 1 species